rnacentral:rRNA from 1 species
GUAACACGUGAGUGACCUGCCUUUUAGACUGGAACAACUUACCGAAAGGUGAGCUAAUGCCGGAUGAGUUAUAUAAGUGCAUGUUUAUAUAGGAAAAGUUGGGAGACCUGACGCUGAAAGAUGGACUCGCGUCCCAUUAGCUAGUUGGUAGGGUAAUGGCCUACCAAGGCGACGAUGGGUAGCCGGCCUGAGAGGGUGGCCGGCCACACUGGGACUGAGACACGGCCCAGACUCCUACGGAAGGCAGCAG